AAUGAACGCUGGCGGCGCGCCUAAUACAUGCAAGUCGAGCGAGAAGACGUAGCAAUACGUUUGUAAAGCGGCGAACGGGUGAGGAAUACAUGGGUAACCUACCCUCGAGUGGGGAAUAACUAGCCGAAAGGUUAGCUAAUACCGCGUACGCUUCUUGGACUUCGGUUCAGGGAGGAAAGCGAUGCCGAGGGUAUCGCGCUCUUGGAUGGGCUCAUGUCCUAUCAGCUUGUUGGNGAGGUAACGGCUCACCAAGGCUUCGGCGGGUAGCUGGUCUGAGAGGACGAUCAGCCACACUGGCACUGCGACACGGGCCAGACUCCUACGGGAGGCAGCAGUAAGGAAUAUUGCGCAAUGGGCGAAAGCCUGACGCAGCGACGCCGCGUGGGGGAGUGAA
rnacentral:rRNA from 1 species